rnacentral:lncRNA from 1 species
UGGGCCACCACCGCGCGCCGCGGGCGGGUGCAGGGCCCCUCUGCCGCAGGGAAACCGGCGUUCCCCGCGCAAAGCAGCCGCUGCUCCUAAUGAGCUCAUGGGUUCACCGCGCUGAGCUAGCCAGAGCGGACCCGGCUUCGCCAAGGGCCUGCUGGCUGUCCUGACACCUGGCCUACCUCGGGGGUGCCUGGCACCUCGAAGGUUGGAAAUUCCAGCACUCUCCUGAGGCCUCUUCCCCAGCGAAUCCUGCUAACCACGCAGUCGGUGUUCGCUGUGUGUUCGAGCACACACCUCCUUGCAGUGGCUUCAGCACCCAGGUCUCCGGGAGCCAGUGAAGGAACCAAGUGUUGGAUACUGAGCAAGUCGCGUAACAUCUGAGUAGUCGUGAAAUUGAAAUUUCAACGGUAUAAAGGACACGACGUUGUCUUACAGAUUGAAAAAUGCUAUAAAAUGAAGUUCUUACUGUUACUAUGAUGAUGACCCUGGAGAUCAGCGCAGAGCCCUGGGGGAGGGCUACAGUUGCAAGCGCUCCAAGGAUCAGAUCGCGCACUCCUCCCCACCGGAGAAAACCUCUUGAUGCCGGAGCCCGGGCAGCCUCUUCCACACUUCCAGCCAGCCCCUUCCACACUUCCAGCCAGCCCCGGCAUUGCCACAGCCCGUGGAGCUGGACAGAAAUCCACCAGGCACUAAAAUAAGUUAGAUGGAAGACGGGAUGGAUUUGACCAAAUUCCUAUCAGCAUCUGCUCAGUAUAAUUGCAACAUUAUAAUCAGAGCAGAAAGAAGCCCAGAGAUUAUUUUGUCUUCAAGGAUCAUUGGCCUCAGUAUUAUCUCCAUCUGAAGCUGUGUUGUCCAAAGCAGAUUGACUCCAGCCGGCCAGCUCAGAAGAGGGCCGACUCUGGGCUGGCGACUCCUUGAGAAGGGCUCUCUCUGGUCCCAGGUGGUAUUUACUUAACCGUAUCAUCAUCUGCUUCAUUCGUGUUCCCUUCAUGUCCAUCAUGUGAGGACGGGAACUGACAGGGCCAGGGUGUCGGCUCAGAGGCAAUCUCUGCUCAUCCUCUAGAGCCCCACUUCAUCACCCAGCCACUCUGUCCACUGUCUCCCCACCUACAAACCUGCAGGUGUUCUGCCCCAGUACUAGAAUAAGGGAACACAUUUUUACUGAGCUCUGACAAUGUGACUGGGCUUUUCAGGAGCUAUUUCAUUUAAUUUUUAAUGUAAAACAUUGUUUUACAUAUUAAGAACCUAAAAGCACAAACAGUAAGUAACUUGCUUGUGGAAGCUUAUGCAGCGAGAUAAGUGGUAAAGCUGCAAUUCCCAGUUUUGUUUGAUGCCACAGCUGAAGGUGCAAGGCCAUCUGGGCACGGCCUGAGUGGAUAUUAGGGAAAAAUGCCCUAAAAGGUCCAGAAUCUCUAAUAAUUUCUCCUACUUCUCAUUUUAUUUUAUUUUUGACGCUGGAGUUUUUUUUUUUUUUUUGAGUCAGGAUCUUGCUCUAUUGCCCAGGCUGGAGGGCAGUGGUGCAAUUUCAGCUCACUGCAACCUCUGCCUCCCAAGUUCAAGCGAUUCUCCUGCCUCAGCCUCCUGCAUAGCUGGGACUACAGGCAUGCACCACCAUACCCAGCUAAUUUUUGUGGAGAUGGGGUUUUGCCACAUGGCCCAGGCUGGUCUCAAACUCCUGAGCUCAAGCGAUCUGCCCUCAUCAGCCUCCCAAAGUGCUGGGAUAACAGGCAUGAGCCACUGCACUAGGCGAAAACGUUUAUUUUAGAAAAACUGAAAAAUAUAGAAACAUAAAGGAAGAAAAGCAUUCAUAAUCUCAUCACCUAGAGAAAGCCAUUAGUAAUAUUCAUAUUUCUUUCCAGUCUUUUUUCUAGCUUUCUAGCUUUAAACUAAGUUGAGAUAAAACCACACACACACACACACAGACACACAAGUGCAUCCUGCUUUUUGUUAAAAAUAACUUUGUGGGAAAUUCUUCCUCCUUUGAGGAUUUUUAAAAAACAUUAAUUUAAAUGUCAUACAAUAUUUUUAUCAUAUGAAUAUCUCAUAAUUUCCCUUUUAUUGAAUAUUUCCAACUUUUAUUGAUUGUAAAUAAUGGCAAUAAAAUUUUUUCUUCAUAAAUC